rnacentral:rRNA from 1 species
GUACACUCCUACGGGAGGCAGCAGUGGGGAAUUUUGGACAAUGGGCGAAAGCCUGAUCCAGCAAUGCCGCGUGAGUGAAGAAGGCCUUCGGGUUGUAAAGCUCUUUUGUCAGGGAAGAAACGGUGAAAGCUAAUAUCUUUUGCUAAUGACGGUACCUGAAGAAUAAGCACCGGCUAACUACGUGCCAGCAGCCGCGGUAAUACGUAGGGUGCAAGCGUUAAUCGGAAUUACUGGGCGUAAAGCGUGCGCAGGCGGUUUUGUAAGUCUGAUGUGAAAUCCCCGGGCUCAACCUGGGAAUUGCAUUGGAGACUGCAAGGCUAGAAUCUGGCAGAGGGGGGUAGAAUUCCACGUGUAGCAGUGAAAUGCGUAGAUAUGUGGAGGAACACCGAUGGCGAAGGCAGCCCCCUGGGUCAAGAUUGACGCUCAUGCACGAAAGCGUGGGGAGCAAACAGGAUUAGAAACCCUUGUAGUCCCAUGAU